CACAGUAAUUGCAAUCAAAGUGGACCAAUAGCUGGAUAUGCUGCUGCGUGUAUUGUUUGAUGGGGAGCAGAAGUAUGUUAGGCUGUCUGACCUAACAUUCGACUCUUUCAUGAAAGAAGUGUGCCUAAAAUUUAACAUACCGGAAGGCAUGCAACCAGACUUGAAGGUGUUUGACAAAUCCGACACAGAAGUUGAUGGAGAAGUCUUUGAAGAAAUAGUGAAUGAGUCACCUGGAACCUUCAAAGUCAUGUUGAGCAAAGAAGAACUAGAUGCCUCUCUAUCAUCAACAUCAUCAUCAUGCUCAGCAGCAUCUGACGAUACUAUCAUUCUGAACGUCACAAUGUGGGACCCUCCUGAAGAAGCAGCUGCUGUCGAAGGAAGUCAGCCUAAAAAGCCAUGCCACAUUAACUGUGGGGCGAAAGCGUUGAUUGAAAAAAUCCUAACAACAAAGCCUGGUGGUGAAAAAAUCAUGCAAGAGUAUGCAAAAAUAAAAUCACUGAAAGAUGGCACCAGAAG